ensembl:lncRNA
UAGAAAAAAAUGUCUAAAUAUAUGAAAUUAUGACUUUAUAAUCUUGUUGUGGAUUCAUUUGAAACAAAUGAUAUGUGGAGCAUUUUAUGAAUCAUCUUUCAAUAUAUAAAGAGAGUUCAGUCAGUCUUUGAGUGCUUUAGAUAAAAAGAGAGACCUGAAAAUAAGAAACAUUCACAGUUCAACAAUACAGAAAUGUCUUAUUUUUAGAAUUUUAUUUAAAAAAACAUUUUAUUGAAAUUUUUUUUUAAAUGCUGCAAGACCUGUAAGGGCUAUGAGGAAUUUUAUUUGAAUGGUAAAUGGUAAAUGGCCUGUAUUUAUAUAGCGCUUUACUAGUCCCUAAGGACCCCAAAGCGCUUUACAUAUCCAGUCAUCCACCCAUUCACACACACAUUCACACACUGAAUAGUACCUGAUUCUGUAUCUGCCAAGUUCAACAUGAAUAUGGAAGGUAAAGUGCUUCAUAUUUUGUAGAUUUAAAUGAGAGUAGAUGUAUCAAAGUUUUGGGAAUCCUCAUCUGUGGAACUAACAUGAAGUUGCUGCUUCUUCCUCUUGUCUGCAAGGAAACACAUCCAAACUUUUUACUUUCUUUCAAAGAUGAUGAUUAUAAAUGGAUGUGACUGUGUUCUUAUGGAAGUACUAUUUCAUAGAAUUACACAUUUUUCUAGUACCAUUUACAAUAAUAGCAGGAACAGUAAUCAUAGCAGUCGUCAUAAUUUGUGUUUUCUUAAUUCUUAUAGUGUGGAAAAUACAGGUCACUUGAAUGAGGUCAACAUUGUAUGAGACUUAAUAUAAAGUAUAUAAGUCUCAUGAGAUAUAUGUAAAACAUUUAUUGUAAGUUUUCUUCUGCACAGGGCUGUUGGUGGUUUAUUAGAUCUUAGAACUACACUGAAGAGAAAAGCUCUGCCACAAAACAGUUGGUUUUAAUUUAUCCAACUCCUGUUUGUUCUGUUUUAUCAUUAUAUCCUGUUUUCUUUUUUUUACUCUUUUAAUGUUAACCAUCUGUACAAAGAAAACACAAAAUCCAGUUUCUCAGUGUUUUUUUUAAAAUUAUUAUUAUGAAGAAGCAUGCAGGCUUUUUAUGACCAGACGGAGUCUUUUACUUCACUUCUCUGUCAAUGAUUUACUGUCAUUCAACAGACUAACAAAAACGAUUCAGGCUUGCUGCAGGCAAAGAACUCAGCCUGGGGUGUGUUUGCCUCUCUUUAUAUGUACUGUUUUAAAGCAAUCUGACUUUAUUUUUUGACACAUUUUAUUUUUUUGGCAUCAACGUCAGACUUUUCAGACAUAUGACAUUGAUCAAAUAACCACAUGCUGAUCAUCAUAUUAGUAUAUCUGUAUGUGUCAUAAAUUGAUCCCCUUCAUCUCAUGAAUUGUAUUUUCAAGUGCAUUUUACUUUAAUGUAAGACCAAGACAAAGAGCAACUGACAACCUGAAUAAUAAAACAUUUGUCAGUCAAACAAUUAAGGGAGGAUAGUAUGAAUCGUUUAAAUUGAUGAAAUAAUAAUGGAAUGAUCUCGGCAGCUUUAAUGUGAGCUGUAAAUCAAAUUUAGAUUCAGGUAUUAAUAAAAAAAAGUUUAUCUAAAUGUUGUGAUUGUGAUGUUUGUAUGCUUAGUUGCAGGUGAGUAUAUUUUGACAGGAGUGAUUUUUGUUGUUUGUUUUUCUUGGCUUGUCAACAGCUGUAAUGUAAAAAUUCGUUGGUAAUAAAAAUGCUAUUGAUUAUUAAA